CACCGCCGCUCCUCGGGGGCUGGUGUUGGCCGGUUGCGGAGGAGCCGCUCGGUUGUUUUCACCCCUUGCACUGGUUCCGCUGCCCUCCUUCAGGGGAGGGGAUGCACCUGCCUCUCACCCUGCUCCCCGCUAGCCCAGGGAGCGGUGAGCGGAGCCCGGCGGGGUGCGGUGAGGACACGCAUCUGGGAGGGCACCGCCGCUGCCUUCACCCGGCCUCCGGCUUUCCCCGCAGGGAGAACGGGUAGGAGCUGCUGCAGAUGGAGAACGUGCACAAGUUACUACACUAUCUGUUGAUAAGAUUGAUGCAGGCAGCUUGGGCCUGAUGAUGAUUCAUUGAUGAUCAAGUGCAACAAACAGCUCUAUUGUUUUUCCAAUGACAGAACUUUUCAGAUUUAAAGAAGAAUGAUUAGCUUGAAGAAACCAAUAGCAAUUUAACAGAAAUACCUUAAGGAUGUCUGUCAAGAUACUGAUGCCACUAAAACCUUUUGAUUGUCCAGCUGGUUUUGAUAGGUGCUCUGCUGAAUAUCACAACAGGAACCAAGGUGAAAAGGGGGGAAGAGUAUCUGGUAUUGCCAUUUUGUCACUCUGAAUAAAUGUUAUGUAGUUUUAGUCCAGUGCAUAUAGUCAUCCUAAUGCAACUAUAAACGCUACAGCAUGGACAUGGGAGCUGUUCGUGUGAGAGCAGAAAGAAUGCUUUGUAUAAGGGAAAUGAAACAUGUCUCUUGGGCAUUAACAGUCUGUAUACUUGGGACUGCAGUUAAUACGUAACCAAUUAACUUCCCUGAUGGUUCAGAAGUACACCAACUCUUACCAGGCCUAAGAGUUUAUGUCUUAGUUGCUUUCUUGAAGUACUGAGCAUUAAAACACCCCACUACUAAACCAAACACUUCCCAGCAGUAUUGCUUUAGUUCGCUUGAGCAGCAUUCAUGGUUGUUCUGUGUUUAUUUACCAAAACCCAUCCAGCAAUUGAAUUUUACUCACAGGAAUAUUCACAAAAUUUAAAAAAAAUCUGCGCUUUGGAGAGCAUUGAUGAUAAAAGUGGUACUUUUCCCACAUAUGACAGAUGAGGCAGGGACACAGAAGCAGGAAUGCAUAGGAAGAGCUGAUGCUACCAGAUCCAGUUUUACUCGUUUUUGCCUGGCCUGCCCUUGCCAGGGGCACUAGUGUUUGGCACCUGGCAUGUCUGUAAUUGUGCUGACAUGGGGCUUUUCAGGACGAACAUGGUAAACUUUUCCUCUGAUGGCUAGGGGGGUCAGUAAAUGCACUAAACAUU